rnacentral:rRNA from 1 species
GACGAACGCUGGCGGCGUGCUUAACACAUGCAAGUCGAACGGAAAGGCCCUGCUUUUGUGGGGUGCUCGAGUGGCGAACGGGUGAGUAACACGUGAGUAACCUGCCCUUGACUUUGGGAUAACUUCAGGAAACUGGGGCUAAUACCGGAUAGGAGCUCCUGCUGCAUGGUGGGGGUUGGAAAGUUUCGGCGGUUGGGGAUGGACUCGCGGCUUAUCAGCUUGUUGGUGGGGUAGUGGCUUACCAAGGCUUUGACGGGUAGCCGGCCUGAAAGGGUGACCGGCCACAUUGGGACUGAGAUACGGCCCAGACUCCUACGGGAGGCAGCAGUGGGGAAUAUUGCACAAUGGGCGGAAGCCUGAUGCAGCAACGCCGCGUGCGGGAUGACGGCCUUCGGGUUGUAAACCGCUUUCGCCUGUGACGAAGCGUGAGUGACGGUAAUGGGUAAAGAAGCACCGGCUAACUACGU